rnacentral:rRNA from 1 species
AGUCAUAUGCUUGUCUCGCAGCUUAAGCCAUGCAUGUCUAGGUAUAAAUGCUUUAUAGUGAAACUGCGAAUGGCUCAUUAAAACAGUCAUUGUUUGCUUGGAAGGAAUCCGCCUUUCGGAUAUCUGCGGCAAUUCUACAGCUAAUACGUAACGGCUUUUUCGGAAGCGUUGCAUGUUAAUUAGGACGAUCGGUGGGGGUUGCUCUACCUUGAUGGAAUACCUUCAUGCGUGAAUCGUGUGUUUAUACGAAAGUCCAUCGAAGUUUCUGACCUAUCAGGCUCCGACGGUUGGGUAUUGGCCAACUGUGCCUAUAACGGGUGACGGGGGAUUAGGGUUUGGUUCCGGAGAGGGAGCAUGAGAGAUGGCUACCACAUCUAAGGAAGGCAGCAGGCGCGCAAAUUACCUAUCUUUAACACGGAGAGGUAGUAAACAGAAAUAAUGACGCAUGAACUUUAUUGUGCGAUCGGAAUGGAUAGCUUGUAAACACGGCUAUGAAAUCAACUAGAGGGCAAGUCUGGUGCCAGCAGCCGCGGUAAUUCCAGCUCUAAUAGCGUAUAUUAAAGUUGUUGCAGUUAAAACGUUCGUAGUCUACCUCUGUCUGCGCGGUUGGUUGGGGGCCUAUGGCGUUCCAAGCAGUUCCGACAGAGAGUAUGCAGCCUUCGCCGUACAUGUUUUAUGCAUUGACGUAGGUUGUAUUGUACUUUGAGUGAAUCGACGUGUCUCACGCAGAUAAUGUCUUGGACGAUCUACCAUGGUAUACUAUAGUUUGAAUAUGCCACGUGGUUGUUUCGAGUGCAUUCUACUGCCGAAAGAACGGUUGAGGGCAUUCGUAUUCAACUG